CAGUCCCUGCGGUGUUCGAUAGUGACGUUAGUUUCUUGACCCGAUAAGCAUUUAUGCACGGGAAUUGACUGGAAACAGGAGUGCAUACUCAUCCUGAAUGAGCAGCCCAAAGUUUCCAAGAUAUUCCCACUUGAACCCCAAAAUGGUUCGAGAACACUGUCGCAACGGCACUGCGGGGAUUUU
rnacentral:other from 1 species